CAAGUUUUUUAUUCUAGAGAAAGUAAUACGUCUAGUUGGUAUAUUAUAUUGAAGGCACCUCCUAGAGGAUUUCAUGAGUCAGAAAAUUUUGAUGAUGAUGCUUAUACUCCAUCCACAUUAGAUGCAUCAUUAAGACUUGAUAUGACUGUUGAAGAUGAAAGUUACGUGAGAUAUGACUGUGAUGGCAUUGAUAUUGAAUAUGGUAAUUGUAUAGAUUUAAGAUUCUCUCUUUCUUGCAUUAUAUUUUAUUGAUAUUACAUUAAUGUUAAUGUCUCUAAUUCUAUUCUUUCUUAAUUUAUUUAUGUAGAUGCAAAUGAUGAAAGCUGACUUUUGUGGAAACUGACGUGCAAAAUGACUGGACAUAAUAUGCAAAAUCUUGGUGAAGUAAGUUAUGAGGUUGUGUAUAAAGGUUUCAAAUGUCUUCAUGUUAAAUUUAAGAAAAAAUUAUGAUUUCUUAUUUGUGCAAUGCAGUCAUCUACUCAGGGAUACAAGAAAUCAAAAUGAGCUAAAAAAGCUUCGGUUGUUGUUGCCACAAGAGAAGGAAAUGAAGGCAUAAGAAUAUCAGAGAGAGGUUUUAAUUCUGUGCAACAUGAUGCAGAAGUCUUGCUAAAUAGCUUCAGUACUACUGAAAAAGGAAAGAAAGGAAGGGGUCGAGCAAAGUUGAACUAUCUCAACAAGGGAAAAUGUACAAAGUUAACUGUAGAAUUUAAUGAAAGAGGGCAACCAAUUUGUAAAGGAUCAAAUAAGUUAUCAUCGUUCUUUGGAACCACGGCUAGGGAACUUAUACCUAUUACAAAGAAAAAUUGGAAAGAUUUCAACGAAAGUUUUCUUUAUGACAUAUGGGAGUUUGUGCAGGUGAUAUAAACCUCACAUCACAUAUAGUGUAAAUUAAAUUAUUAUUAAUCUUGUGUAUUUUGAUGUAGCAAAGGUUUGAUAUUGACAUUUGUCAUAGAAAGUACAUUAUGCAAAAAUUGGGAAAGAGUUGGAGGGAUCAUCGAUCUGAUAUGCUAAAAACAAUCAGCAACAAAGGAAGAAAAAUUGGCAGACACGAGUUGCUGCUCUUCUCAAGCCAAAUAAUGUUGACUCAAUGGAAGAAUGGUAAGCAUUUGUCAAAUAACGCAAUUCUCAACCAUACAAGGUAUGUUCCAUUGCUCUUAUAUACUGAAUGUGCAUGUUAUAAGUUACUGUGGGCAAACCAGAUGAAUAUUCUUUUAUAUUGUGAAUGGGUAAUGAUUGUAAUGGUGUUACAUAUCCUUUCUAUAAUGAAUUAAGUUGUUAGAUGAUGAUUUCCUAUAGGUUCCUAGCUCUUCCUACUACUUUCACUUUCGUUAACAAAAAAGAAAGUAUAACACUAUCCAUAAUGUUGUGUUUAUACAAUAAUUUUCAAAUUUUGCAGGAAAAAAAUGAUAGGUUUAAAAAUAUGAGAGCUAGUCAAACUAUGUUGCAUACAACGAGUAGAAAAGGCUUUGCCUGCUUAGAAGCAGAAAUGGUAAAAUUUAUGUUAAAUUAUAAGUUAAAUUGGCUUGAAAAUUUGUCAAUGUGUACAAACUAUCAUGUAUACGAAAUGGGUAAAACAAAUUGCAGCACUUGAUUCCAUUACGAGAGAUGAUAUUUAUAUUCGAGGACGUAGGUGAAAAAAUGGUGAAUCAAUUAAUGAAUCAGUUGGAGAAACAUUGGUAACGAAUUUGUUCUUUGAAUUUUCUUCUGGUAAUUCAAAGUUUAUAUUUGCAUUACUUUAAACCAUUAAUGUAUUUCUUGAUAUUAGUAAAAAAUAAAAACUUGUUCAUAAACAGUUACCUCUCCAAGUAAACAAUCUCUCAUAGAUGAUGGUGUUGCAAGAAUACUUGGUCUGGAACGUCGAGGAUGAGUAAGAGGGCUUGGCUCCGGUGCAACUCCUUCAAAGUUGAAUGCUUUGGUACAAAGUCAGAACUUGCAAACUCAAGUACAAGAGUUAAGAGAUGAAAUUAAAGAAUUGAAAGCUUUAUUUCAACAGAAGAGUAAAAGUGUUGAACAAGAAAAUGUAAGUGCGAAACUAUCGUUACUGGUUGAUAUUCUAUACUUUAUAUUCUUUUCUAUAUUCAAAUUAUCAAAUUGUACUUUCAUAUGAAUUUUACAACAUAGUGAUAGAAGCUCGAAUGGUUUAGAUAAUUAUCAGAGUAAGAAAUGCAAAUUGUUACGUUGGUUUGGGAAAGCUAAUGUAGUUGCAAAAAGUGAAAUCGUAUCAACAAAUCCUUGUGAUCUAAUGCAUCAUGUAUCCCUUGGCGAUGAAUGUUGGAGAGUUUGGGUUAAUGAAGUUAUUGACAAUGUUACCUUAUAUCGUCCCACACGGGAACUAUUUCUUCUUGAAGAUGCAUUAAGAAGUACAAUUGCAUGGCCAAUCAAGUUUAUCAAAAUGGAUUAAUUGUAAGAAAAACAAAUGUAUGCUUCACUUGGUUUUUAUAUCAUUUUUCAUUUGUAUACUCACUUUAAUUUAUUAACUAUACAUUCAUUUAUUUUUGUGAUGUGCAAGGAGUUGCUUAUUUUUGGGACAACAAAAUUGCUGAUCAAAUUAAUCAAAAUCGAAGUGGAUCAAUUAUUUUGUACUAUUUUAAUUAUUUAUUUUUGGAUUAGUUGCCUAUACUUUUGAAUAUUGAUAUCAACUAUUUGAGUAGGCUAAUGAUGUUCUUAGUUCGUUUCAAAAUUAACUCUACAUUUUAA
rnacentral:lncRNA from 1 species